rnacentral:misc_RNA from 1 species
GUUCACUGUCCCCGGCAAAAGCUCGCUGCCGAUUGCGGAUGCUCGCGCGUCGGCGCCCAGGAGCUUCAUGCGCAGAGCGGAAUCCU